rnacentral:rRNA from 1 species
UACGGAGGGGGCUAGCGUUGUUCGGAAUUACUGGGCGUAAAGCGCACGUAGGCGGCUUUGUAAGUUAGAGGUGAAAGCCCAGGGCUUAACCCUGGAAUUGCCUUUAAGACUGCAUUGCUAGAAUCGUGGAGAGGUGAGUGGAAUUCCGAGUGUAGAGGUGAAAUUCGUAGAUAUUGGGAAGAACACCGGUGGCGAAGGCGGCUCACUGGCUCGUAACUGACGCUCAUGCACGACAGCGUGGGGAUCAAACAGG